rfam:Populus trichocarpa isolate Nisqually-1 chromosome 15, whole genome shotgun sequence.
UAAUAUAUUAAAAAUAAAUUUUUAUUUAGUUGUAAAAGACUACUCAAAAUCAUCUAUUUUCGCAUGCCCAACGACAUCACGAAGUAGAGGACAAGUCCACCUCCACUGGAAAGCGACUUUGAU